CAGCUGGUCAUGAGCAGGCGAGGCCUUUAUAAAACCCAGGAGCUGGGGCCUGCAGGCAGGCUGUAAUCACUUCCUGGAGAGAGAAAGGUGUGCUCAGGACUAUAGAUGGCAGUCUAUGGUUACUCCCUGAGCAAAAGGUGUUGGAAGGCUGGCAAAAUACACAGAGGGGGAAGCUGGGUAGAUAGGAGAUGGCUCAGGGGAAUAACAGCAUAGUAUAGGAGAGUGCAAACCUUGGUUGGUGAUUAGAGGGCCUAUGGGCUGGAACCUGGAGUAGAGAGCAGGCCUGGGUUCCCCUACUAGCCACUGGGGAUGUGGCACAGACUAGGCAGAGGAUAGUGGACUGCCUAGAAUAAUUUGUCCUGGAAAGACUUUGAUGCAUCCUUUCUCCCCACCUCCAACAUAGGGACCUGGCUGGAGGGCUGAAUCACAAAGAGGAGGCUGUGGUUCCUGGAGUGAGAGGGGUCUAUAGGGCAAGAGGUUGAUGGAAUAGACCCUGCCAGAGGAGAGCGUGACACCUGAUCAGUACCAAGGGCAGGCAGGAGGCGGUGUUACUAGCAGGGAGUGGACCCCAUGCCUGUCCCUUAAAUGGUUUGGGUCCUUACUUAAGAAACCACUUUUCAUGACUUACUGCUGCAGUCAGUGGAAGAGCCUAGGCUGGAACCUGCUAGCUUUAAAAUAGAAGGUGCUGGUGUUAGUGUUCUCCAUUGGGGCCCUGGCUCUGGAAUCCCCUCCAAAUCCCAUCUGAAAUAGCCUUGGAAUCUAUUGACCUUCGGUGCAUGUGUUCACUUGAGUUGCUGCAGAGAGAUAUUUUUCAUAGGUUUCAAACAAUCAGGAAGGAUUUUCACUAAGGAUAAUGGCUGAAUCCUGGGGAUCUGAACCAAAACUCUUGAUCCAAACAAAGAGAGACAUGAAGCAGCUCAGGUGGGGGGUGCCUCCUGAUAGAGGGGACUGGACCUGUAUCCGAAGGAGACUCCAGAGGAGGAAGCACAACCAGAAGACAAGACUGGGUAAGAGGAGAGAGGGGGCAGAAGAAUCCUGAACUCCUUGGAAGGAUCCAAAAAACUCAGAGGAUGGAAGAGGAAACUUGUGCAGAGGUGUUCGGUUAUUCUUUCAUACAGCUGUAGACUUCUUGUGCUGUGUCUGAGUACAGUAUG